UCGACGACAUUCGUCGAAGACGAUUAACAAUUCUAUAAUAGUCGUUAAACAACAGUCUUCAGUACAUGACAAGUACUCUCCUUUUUAUUUCGUGCUGUUUAUUUUCAUAAAAUAUCUUUAUACUCCCUUUUAGAAUCAUGAUGAAGAUCGUAUGAACAAAAUUUGGAGUUUCUUCGGCGGCGGUGCACCACUCGGUAAACACUGUAGAUUGGUACAACUCGGUUUCCCGGGAAGAGUCGACGCUUAAAUCUUGCCAUAAUAUCGGAAAAACAAAAAAACUGAAAUAAUUACGCUAUAUCCUUAUAUAAUGUCAACCCGGAAAACGAUUGGCAGUAUCAUUAGGAAGCUGAUGAAUAACAAAAAAAAGUGUCGCAGGGCUGUGUUUGUUUAAUACUAUAAUUUUUUGAACAGUAGUACAGUAUAUUAUGAAUAUUUACUUAAAUAAUAUUUAAUUUUUAUGGUUUUUUUCAGAUAAUAUACUGUACUACGGUUUUAGGUGUUCUUUUUAUUUAAAUAAUACAUUGAAAAAUUACCAAUUUUUUUUCUUAUCACAAAGCAAGUAUGUCUUUGUGUAUAUUUAAAUUUAUAUUUUUUAUAGUGAUUGUGCUGUUUAACAUUCUUAUAAAAGAGAGUGAGGAAUUAAAAAGGUGGCCACCGAACAGAAAGUUAAACUGCAAUAUACUAUAACCUUUUUAUUUCUUGUUUACAUUUUUAACUGAUAAAUAAUGAAUAUAAAAUUUCAAAUUAAUUUAAAUUCAAAACUAAAAGAACACCAACAUAUAUUUCUUAAACAUUGAAAUUUUACUAUAAGUUUAAAUUACAUUUAAUCUGCAUAUUAUUUGAAGUUUUAUAGGAACGGAACAUUUAACUGGAUCAUGGACGACUAUCCACCGACGAAGAAUUUAUCAUAGAGCUGAUGAAAAAUGUGUCGGCACUCGGCUUCGUUUCAAUACGGAGGACGUCUAGCAGCAGCAAAAAGAUAUUCAUCUGACGAUAAUCAACUGCCCAAAGGAAUUGUUGUGAAGCAGAAUUUGUCAUUGAGCUGAUGGAAAAUGUGUCGGCACUCGGCUGUAUUUCAACACGGAGGACGUCUAGCAGCAGCAAAAAGAUAUUCAACUGACGAUAAUCAACUGUCGAAAGGAUUUGUUGUGAAGCAGAAUUUGUCAUUGAGCUGAUGGAAAAUGUGUCGGCACUCGGCUGUAUUUCAACACGGAGGACGUCUGGCAGCAGCAAAAAGAAAUUCAACUGACGAUAAUCAACUGUCGAAAGGAUUUGUUGUGAAGAAGAAUUUGUCAUUUUGCUGAUGGGAAAUGUGUCGGCACUCAGCUGUAUUUCAACAAGGAGGACGUCUAGCAGCAGCAAAAAGAAAUUCAACUGAUGAUCAACUGCCCAAAGGAUUUGUUGUGAAGAAGAAUUUGUCAUUUUGCUGAUGGAAAAUGUGUCGGCACUCGGCUUCGUUUCAACCAGGAAGAAGAUUGGCAGCAUCAAUAGACGUUCAUCUUAAUGUCAACUGUUGAAAGGAUUUGUUUGCAUUAUAAUAUAAGUUUAAAAUACAUUUAAUCUGCAUAUUAUUUGAAGUUUUAUAGGAACGGAACAUUUAACUGGAUUAUGGACGAUUAUCCACCGACGAAGAAUUUGUCAUAGAGCUGAUGGAAAAUAUGUCGGCACUCGGCUUCGUUUCAACACGGAGGACGUCUAGCAGCAGCAAAAAGAAAUUCAACU